UACGAAGGGGGCUAGCGUUGCUCGGAAUCACUGGGCGUAAAGGGUGCGUAGGCGGGUCUUUAAGUCAGGGGUGAAAUCCUGGAGCUCAACUCCAGAACUGCCUUUGAUACUGAAGAUCUUGAGUUCGGGAGAGGUGAGUGGAACUGCGAGUGUAGAGGUGAAAUUCGUAGAUAUUCGCAAGAACACCAGUGGCGAAGGCGGCUCACUGGCUCGGUACUGACGCUGAGGUGCGAAAGCGUGGGGAGCAAACAGGG
rnacentral:rRNA from 1 species